AGUAAUGUCUGGGAAACUGCCUGAUGGAGGGGGAUAACUACUGGAAACGGUAGCUAAUACCGCAUAACGUCGCAAGACCAAAGUGGGGGACCGUUCGGGCCUCAUGCCAUCAGAUGUGCCCAGAUGGGAUUAGCUAGUAGGUGGGGUAACGGCUCACCUAGGCGACGAUCCCUAGCUGGUCUGAGAGGAUGACCAGCCACACUGGAACUGAGACACGGUCCAG
rnacentral:rRNA from 1 species